rnacentral:lncRNA from 1 species
GGUGAAUCCACUCUGGAGCUGUGGAAAAUCAAACACAGCAGCACUGUGGAGCUCAGGCAGCCCCCCAGAGCAGCCCGCGUGGGUUCCAAGGAGUGUUCUGCUGUGCACCAUGUGAAGCCCAGAACCAGGGAGAUGCACAGUAAAGAAAGAACAGAGAUGCAAGUGAGGACAUCAGAAAAAAGUACAAUACCACUGGAAACGUGUAGAAGGAUGUCAAAAGGUUGUCUGCGUAUUAAAAAUUACAAUUCCACACAAAGCCAACAUUUGCUAUGUGCCUUGCAUGGUUCUAUACAAUUUACAAUCAUCGAUUUGUGAUUCACUCCUGCAGACAACUCUCACAAUUGCUCUUUCUGUGUCAGAGAUGAGGAAGCUGUGUUUUUGGAGCCCCUAUCUCCUGCUUAAAAUAGCUCUGAAUCCCUCCUCCUCUCCACUGUCUCCAACCAGGGCAUCCCCAGGAGCACUUUAAGUCAGACAUCACAGACUUUGAGAGCUCAGAAGCAAUGAACACACAGGGGACUGUGAACACCCAGCCAGCCUUGAGAGAUGAAGAGCAGAAGAGGUUUGAACACGAUGAUAUGAUUAAUACACUUGGCUCUGUGGCUCAGACUUUGUUCCCCAAAGACACAUCAGGUGGAUAUUUUUUCAAACACCCGUGAGUCAUUUAAGAAUAUCUACCUAAGAGAGAUGGCUUGGGGCAUCAAACCAGAUCCUGGACCAAAAAGAACAUCUUGGAAAAUUAUUUUUUUUAAAUGUUGAAAUCAUACAGGCCACAUUCUCUGACCACAUUGCAAUAAGUUAGAUAUCUAUCACAAAAGAGGGAAAACAGAAAAAUACCAAACCACUUGGAAGCUUUCCAAAAUCUUUCUUAACUCUUUGCUUAAUGAAAAAAUAAAAAAUCGUAACUCAUGUGAUUUGGCUGUAUGUCCCCACUCAAAUCUCAUCUCAAAUUAUAAUCCCCACGUGUUGAGGGAGGAAACUGUAAUCCCCAUGUGCCAAGGGAGGGAAGUGAUUGGAUCACGGAGGCAGUUUCCCCCAUGCUGUUCUGGUAAUAGUGAGUAAGUUCUCACAAAAUCUGAUGGUUUUAUAAGGGUUUGGAAGUUUCUCCUUCAUUCUUCUCUCUCCUGCAGCCUUGUGAAGAAGGUGUUUGCUUCCCCUUUGCCUUCUGUCAUGAUUGUAAGUUUCUUGAGGCCUCCCCA